rnacentral:rRNA from 1 species
UACGUAGGUGGCAAGCGUUAUCCGGAUUUACUGGGUGUAAAGGGCGUGUAGGCGGGAAAGCAAGUCAGAUGUGAAAACUCAGGGCUCAACCCUGAGCCUGCAUUUGAAACUGUUUUUCUUGAGUACUGGAGAGGCAGACGGAAUUCCUAGUGUAGCGGUGAAAUGCGUAGAUAUUAGGAGGAACACCAGUGGCGAAGGCGGCUUACUGGACGGUAACUGACGUUGAGGCACGAAAGUGUGGGGAGCAA